AGCGUCUUGGCGCAGUGGAAGCGCGCAGGGCUCAUAACCCUGAUGUCCCUGGAUCGAAACCAGGAGACGCUACCA
rnacentral:tRNA from 2 species